UAAGGAAUAUUGGACAAUGGGCGCCAAUGGAAUCCAGCCAUCCCGCGUGGAGGACGACUGCCCUAUGGUUUGUAAACUCCUUUUAUUAGAGAAGAAACGCCUGGAUUUAUCUGGGCCUGACGGUACUUUAUGAAUAAGCACCGGCUAACUCCGUG
rnacentral:rRNA from 1 species